rnacentral:lncRNA from 1 species
UUUUUUUUUCUCGGUUGUGUUUUCUGCUAGUACUCUUUUUGUAUUAAGCAUUUUAUCUCGCUCGUGUAACUUUUUUUAAGCUCAUUAUACAUAUAAUUUUUUUUAGUAGGGUAUCACAUAAUUAUGUACUAAAAUACCCUUUCUUUCACUUUUUGCGCUAUAUCCACGCAAGAUCCACGCCCAUCAUGCGGAAUGAAUAUUUUGAAGAAUUAAAUUGUUGAACUGCCUAGACUGAUGAGGGUAAAAAUGUCAAAAUGAUUCUCAUUUUCUAUUUUUUCUUUUUAAAAUUUUUUUCUUCCUUCUUACAUGCCCCUUUUUGCCUUCCUUUGAUUCCAGCCCGAACUCAAGCCCAAUAAAGCCAUACACCUCCACAAUAUUAUGAGAUAAUAGAUAGACAGAGAAUAAGAAGUUAGGAAAAAGGAAAAGAAAAAAAAAAUCGUAUUUGACCAAUUUACCACCAUAACACUACAUGCCUUUUUACAAGAAUGGAAUAUGAUAACUAAUAGCAAAUUUAUGGUGUGAUCAUUUCACAAGUUCAAAAUUAUGUUAUGGAAAUUGAAACAUAAAAUAAUUGUAAAUGUAUACUAGAAUUUGGAAUAAACAAUUUAUUCAUCCGCAAUUAUGGUGUUAUCAUUGUGUUAGUGUCUUUAUUCACGAUUAUGGACCUUCAUCCCUAUGAACAUGAAUACUCCACUUCUUGAUUGAAUUGGAAAAUUGGUAGAGUACCUUUGAGAAGAAAAACAAUAGUGGACAGGACACAACACAACAAAACAUAACCACAGGCCAUACUUCAGCUGAUCAAUGUUUGUCAUCCUUCCAGGAAGUAUGAAUUAGUUUGCCUUUGCCAUACUUCUGUUAACCACAUCUUAAUCCAUAUUUUGUACUCACUAGAAUUCUGCUAUGCCUAAUGAAAUUUAUGGCUGUUCCACCACCAGAAAAUCUUGAGAAAUGCUUUCUAAAUGAUCAAAGACUAGCGAAAUUCAACAAAUAUCUAUAUCAGCAUUAACUCCAACUUUUAAAACAGGGAUGCCAAAGCUGUGGUCCUAGGCAUGACAAGCAGUUGGAGAUUUCACAGAAAAGUGAGCUAUUUUGGACAGAUAUAUAAAGUUUAAAAUUUGAAUUGACAGGGUCAGUUUGACAUUGGUUAAAAAACAAUGAGGGUUUAAGCAGAAGAAACCGAUUUUGCAUCCAUAAAAUACAAUUCUAUCUCAAAAAUAUCAAAAUAGCACCAAAAGUUGGUAAACAAACUCUUAUAAUCUAAGAUUCUAAAUCAUCUUCCACCAGAUUUGAUGAAUAACAAAUCUAGUGACAAAGAAUACCCUUCACAUAACCAAAGAGAACCUUAAUGUUGCACCAAUAUACUUCACUGAGCUUUUCACCAAAAUAUCUGUAUUACCAUAACACCAUAGUGACAGAGAUAAUACUAAGAGCUGAUAUAUAGUACACAGGUUUUAUCAGUAAGAAUUACAGAACUUUUUUUUUCCCUCUCUUUAGAGUGAAAUUCAAUGUCAAAUUGUCAAUGGAGCAUCAAGGACAAACUGUCUCACCUUUUUGUUUAGCAACCCUAGCUCAACUGUAUGGAUGUUGAGCAUUUGGACGUGCAGCAUAUGGUGUGCAUCUAAAUACUCAAGAUAUGCUAAUGGAGCAUCUACACAAAACCUUCAUGCCAGUUGAAAACAUUCUUCUAAUGGAACACCAAAACUUUUUCCUCAGUAGAUUCGAACAAGAAAGAAAAGUUUUCUGCCAUUGACAGUGUUAACUGUAUGGUCCAACUGAGGCAGCAUUUAGCAUCAGCCCAUUAUUCAUCAUCUGCAAGAUAUUGAAGCAUGUUAAAAAAAGGAAACUCAAAAUAUCAGAUCUCUAAAUCAUUGAUCGACAUGCAAAGGGCUCAAAUGAAGCAUCGCCUACCCAAAAGGGCCAAAAAAGUUUGGUGGUU